CCUACGGGUGGCAGCAGUGGGGAAUAUUGGACAAUGGGCGAAAGCCUGAUCCAGCAAUGCCGCGUGUGUGAAGAAGGCCUUAGGGUUGUAAAGCACUUUCAAUAGGGAAGAAAUACAUUGAGAUAAUACCUUAGUGGGUUGACGUUACCUAUAGAAGAAGCACUGGCUAACUCUGUGCCAGCAGCCGCGGUAAUACAGAGAGUGCAAGCGUUAAUCGGAAUUACUGGGCGUAAAGCGUACGUAGGCGGAUUUUUAAGUCGGAUGUGAAAUCCCCGGGCUCAACCUGGGAACUGCAUACGAUACUGAAAGUCUAGAGUAUAAUAGAGGAAAGUGGAAUUUCCGGUGUAGCGGUGAAAUGCGUAGAUAUCGGAAGGAACACCAGUGGCGAAGGCGGCUUUCUGGAUUAAUACUGACGCUGAGGUACGAAAGCGUGGGGAGCA
rnacentral:rRNA from 1 species